GCCUCGGUGGCUCCGAGGCGGGAGCGCUGGCCUACGGAUAUAGCCUACUAUGUGGCGGGUUCGAAUCCCGGCCGAGGUG
rnacentral:tRNA from 1 species